GCUUGUUGCCUUGGUGAUGGUGAGGCACGUGAGGCAGUGAGUCUCCGAUUAUCUGCCCCCCACCCUAGUGCCCACCCGGCGCAGGUCCUACCCUGGGCUUCCUGGGUUAGGGCCUUGAGAAGCAAUGAGGAUGGUCUCUCUCCAGGCCACCGGAACAGCAGGCAGGCACGGUAUGGAGUGCAGAGAAUGCUCUGAUGCCCUCGAAGGAACUCCGUUCACCCAGGUUCUACUCCUCAGACUUUAAAUAAUCAUUAAGUAACUCCCACUUGCUGAGCAGGAAGGUCCUGAACUUUCUGCAUCUCAGAUCCUCCUCAACAUAAAGAGACCCUGCAAAGGCAGGCAGACACCACUUUUUCGGAGCGGCAGCAACUGCAUUAACUUACUGACUUUCACGGAUGCCUGAUAAGCUCCCUCCUUCCUGGGAACAGAGAGAGAGUCAGAGACACAGGCAGAGGGAGAAGCAGGCUCCCUGCAGGGAGCCC